AUUGAACGCUAGCGGGAUGCCUUACACAUGCAAGUCGAACGGCAGCACGGACUUCGGUCUGGUGGCGAGUGGCGAACGGGUGAGUAAUGUAUCGGAACGUGCCCAGUAGCGGGGGAUAACUACUCGAAAGAGUAGCUAAUACCGCAUACGCCCUACGGGGGAAAGGGGGGGAUCGCAAGACCUCUCACUAUUGGAGCGGCCGAGAUCGGGUUAGCUAGUUGGUGGGGUAAAGGCCCGCGAAGGCGAGGCUCCGUAGCUGGUUUGAGAGGACGGCCAGCCACACUGGGACUGAGACACGGCCCAGACUCCUACGGGAGGCAGCAGUGGGGAAUUUUGGACAAUGGGGGCAACCCUGAUCCAGCCAUCCCGCGUGUGCGAUGAAGGCCUUCGGGUUGUAAAGCACUUUUGGCAGGAAAGAAAUCGCACGGGCUAAUACCUCGUGUGGAUGACGGCACCUGCAGAAUAAGCACCGGCUAACUACGUGCCAGCCGCCGCGGUAA
rnacentral:rRNA from 1 species